UACGGGGGGGCAAGCGUUGUUCGGAUUUACUGGGCGUAAAGGGCGCGUAGGCGGCCAGCGCAAGUCAGUUGUGAAAUCUCCGGGCUUAACUCGGAAAGGUCAACUGAUACUGCGGCGGCUAGAGUGCAGAAGGGGCAACUGGAAUUCUCGGUGUAGCGGUGAAAUGCGUAGAUAUCGAGAGGAACACCUGCGGCGAAGGCGGGUGCUGGGCUGACACUGACGCUGAUGCGCGAAAGCCAGGGAGCAAAGCGGG
rnacentral:rRNA from 1 species